GACGAACGCUGGCGGCGUGCUUAACACAUGCAAGUCGAACGCUGAAGACCUGGCUUUUGUUGGGUUGGAUGAGUGGCGAACGGGUGAGUAACACGUGAGUAACCUGCCCUCUUCUUUGGGAUAACGCCCGGAAACGGGUGCUAAUACUGGAUAUUCACUGGCCUUCGCAUGGGGGUUGGUGGAAAGGUUUGUUCUGGUGGGGGAUGGGCUCGCGGCCUAUCAGCUUGUUGGUGGGGUGAUGGCCUACCAAGGCUUUGACGGGUAGCCGGCCUGAGAGGGUGACCGGUCACAUUGGGACUGAGAUACGGCCCAGACUCCUACGGGAGGCAGCAGUGGGGAAUAUUGCACAAUGGGCGAAAGCCUGAUGCAGCGACGCCGCGUGAGGGAUGGAGGCCUUCGAGUUGUAAACCUCUUUCGCUCAUGGUCAAGCCGCAACUGUGGGUUGUGGUGAGGGUAGUGGGUAAAGAAGCGCCGGCUAACUACGUG
rnacentral:rRNA from 1 species